UGACCCCAAGUUAGGCGAGAUCACCC
rnacentral:rRNA from 1 species